UGAAGCAUAUCAAUAAGCGGAGGAAAAGAAACUAACAAGGAUUUCCCCUAGUAACUGCGAGUGAAGCGGGAAAAGCUCAAAUUUAAAAUCUGGCGGUCUUUGGCUGUCUGAAUUGUAUUCUAAAGAAGCGUUUUCUGUGCUGGACCGUGUACAAGUCUCUUGGAACAGAGUAUCAUAGAGGGUGAGAAUCCCGUCUUUGACAUGGACUACCAGUGCUAUGUGAUGCGCUCUCAAAGAGUCGAGUUGUUUGGGAAUGCAGCUCAAAAUGGGUGGUAAAUUCCAUCUAAAGCUAAAUAUUGGCGAGAGACCGAUAGCGAACAAGUACCGUGAGGGAAAGAUGAAAAGCACUUUGGAAAGAGAGUUAAACAGUACGUGAAAUUGCUGAAAGGGAAACGCUUGAAGUCAGUCGCGUUAGUCAGAACUCAGCCUUGCUUUUGCUUGGUGCACUUUCUGAUUGACGGGCCAGCAUCAGUUUUGAUUGUGGGAAAAAAGUUAGAGGAAUGUGGCACCUUCGGGUGUGUUAUAGCCUUUGAUUAUAUACCAUGGUUGGGACUGAGGAUCUCAGCACGCGUAAGCUGUGCUAAGGAUGCUGGCGUAAUGGCUUUAAACGACCCGUCUUGAAACACGGACCAAGGAGUCUAACAUGCCUGCGAGUGUUUGGGUGGAAAACCCGAGCGCGUAAUGAAAGUGAAAGUUGGGAUCUCUGUCGUGGAGAGCACCGACGCCCGGACCAGACCUUCUGUGACGGAUCUGCGGUAGAGCAUGUAUGUUGGGACCCGAAAGAUGGUGAACUAUGCCUGAAUAGGGUGAAGCCAGAGGAAACUCUGGUGGAAGCUCGUAGCGAUUCUGACGUGCAAAUCGAUCGUCAAAUUCGGGUCACAUGCGGCGAGAGUCAAUCU
rnacentral:rRNA from 1 species